rnacentral:rRNA from 1 species
GACAGAGGUUGCAAGCGUUGUUCGGAAUUACUGGGCAUAAAGCGCACGUAGGCGGUCCGCUAAGUCAUGUGUGAAAUCCCCCGGCUCAACCGGGGAAUGGCGCCUGAUACUGGCGGACUCGAGAUCGGUAGGGGUGAGUGGAACUCCAGGUGGAGCGGUGAAAUGCGUAGAUAUCUGGAGGAAUACCGGUGGCGAAGGCGGCAUCCUGGACCGGCAUUGACGCUGAGGAGCGAAAGCCAGGGGAGCAAACGGG